GAUGAAGAACGCAGUGAAAUGCGAUAAGUAAUGUGAAUUGCAGAAUUCAGUGAAUCAUCGAAUCUUUGAACGCACAUUGCGCCCCUUGGUAUUCCGAGGGGCAUGCCUAUUCGAGCGUCAUUAUCACCCCUCAAGCCUAGCUUGGUGUUGAGGCCUGCUGUCAAGGCAGCCUCUAAAAUCAGUGGCAGUGCUGUCAGGCUCUAAGCGUAGUAAAUCUAAUCGCUAUAGACACCUGGUGGACACUCGCCAGAAACCCCCCAUUUUUUAAUGGUUGACCUCGGAUUAGGUAGGGAUACCCGCUGAACUUAAGCAUAUCAAUAAGCGGAGGA
rnacentral:misc_RNA from 1 species